UGGGGAAUAUUGGACAAUGGGCGCAAGCCUGAUCCAGCAAUGCCGCGUGUGUGAAGAAGGCCUUCGGGUUGUAAAGCACUUUUAUCAGGAACGAAAAGCGUAGGGUUAAUAACCUUGCGUGCUGACGGUACCUGAGGAAUAAGCACCGGCUAACUUCGUGCCAGCAGCCGCGGUAAUACGAAGGGUGCAAGCGUUAAUCGGAAUUACUGGGCGUAAAGCGUGCGUAGAUGGUUCACUCAGUCGGAUGUGA
rnacentral:rRNA from 1 species